UCUUCCCUUGAUGCAGCCCCGCCACAUCAAUGGGGGAGGCUUUUGCGUUUCCGAUGGUGCUGAUCCGGACAGACCGAGCUGGAGGCGGCGCAGGCGGCUGUGGGAGCCGGGCACGAGCCUGCUGCUGCUGCUCCCAUCUGCAGGUGUCACCUCGGCCCCAGCCGCUCCGGGGGUGCUGACCCAAGCCGGGGGAAGGCAUACACACGCCCUGGUAACCCUCAGCUUUGCUGUUUGGUGAUAUACCUACUGUCUGCUUCAAAAGUACUUGAUUUUUCACGCUUCUGGAAGAGGGUCCGAUGUGGCUCAUCUGCUCUGGGGCAGCGGAACAAGAAGGAACAUUCUGAAGGGUCCGCAGGACACCACUGAAGUGCAGACUGUUACCGCUUCCAGUGUUCACAUCUUACGUACCUGAUUUUUCAGAAGUAAAGUGCCUACGAUGUCUGGGGCCCACGCGCGCCCUGAAUGCCGGGACUCUGCUUCCUUUACAAAAGAUCACAAAAGCUGUUAAGAUUAUGGCACGGAAAGGACCUGAACAUGGGAUUAUGGGAAGGUCAGCCAUCAGUAGCGGCUAGUUAUAAAAGGUUGGUCGCUUUUACUCUGCAACAUUGUAUUCGUAUUAGUUACCUACAAAGAAAUGGCAGAACAAAGGAUACUCUUGCAAAUGUGACCAAUGUCAUGUCUGUACACAUGGUGGUGGGGUUUGUUUAUUGUUUGGGAAAGUAUUUUGGUCCUCUAAGUGUCAGAAAGGAGCUGUGGCAGCAGCUACUGUGCCCUCAUGCUUACAGUCCCGUUCAAGAGUUCAACCUGUAUUCUCUCACCAGCUGCAUCUUUCACGUCCCCUUUUCUGUUUCAGAUACAAAAAGUCUGUAUCAGAGGUUCAGACAUGGACUAACAUACGAAACACUUUUUCACAGAACAGAUUUUGGUAUCAGCUAUACACUGUGAUCAUGGCACUAACAUGACUUGCUUGGUUUGUUCACCUCAGCAGCAGCUGUACUGUAACUUACUUGGGAACCUUGUCACACCUCUACAACUACCCGACACGACGCCGUAGCGAGGUGGGGGUCGGUGUCUUCUCCCAGCCAUCACAGAUUCUCUGGAACAGUAAAUCCUGACACCUGCUGUGGUGAGAGAUGAACACAUGCCACAAGGACGAACACCUGCCUGACAAACAAGUGCUCCUAAUGCUGGUGUACACCACUCUCAUCAGCUGUGUUACCUGUGGGAAAACAAGACUUGCAUCUGGAAGGGGACAAAGCAUCGACUUUUUCAAGCGCUGUGAAACAAGUGUAGUUCAACUACCCAGGGGACCUGAGAUGGAAACCAAUCUGGCAAGUCUUUGCAGGAUCUUCAGUCAGAGAGCGCUACCAGGUCCUCCAGCACAAGUUUCAGCUGUAUAGCUGAGUUCCUGUGAUGCAGUAUUUUUUACAUCACCUGAGCUACACCAGUCAUCUGUGUACCUACUAAAAAUUCACCAGUUUGCUGAAGAUGGGACUCAUGCAGCCCGUUCCUGCAGCUCAAUUCAUGUGCAAUGCUCCUGAAGCAAAUGCAGCUCAAUCACAUCAGGAACACAAGACCCAGGAUGCACAAACACAUCUUGCAAAUAACGCUUUUUGUAUUCCUGCAAUUGUAUUCCUGUCCCUGUAAAGUCAAAAGAAAUGGAGACUCCAGGCAGGUAUCUGUUAUGAAGUUUAGGAAGUGAAAACUUUGGCUGUUCAAUUUUCAUGUUGUACAAUUCAGUUGAUGUACCUGACUGCUUUUCUUCAGGUCUUUGGCUGUUGCUCUCCAUGUUUCUAUCGCUCCUACACUGACAUCCCAUGUGUAUGGCAGAAGGUAUUCCUUGCUGUAUCUCUAGCCACACAACCCUCAAUCACUGUAAGCAGAACGUGAGCUUUGGUGUUCACAGAUUUUGCUUUUACCUCUUCCCAGCUCUGGGGUUGCAGCUUCUCCCUCUUACAGCCUACCCAAACCAAAGAAGCUUCAACUGGUCCCUAAAACUCCACUUCCCAUUUCCCAGUGAGUGGACCGUGGAUACUAAUGACUGGAGGAUUCAACUGGAUGCACAGGUCCAACCAGACUGUCUUCCUUCUAGCUGGGUGCGGCUGAACAUCCCACAUGCAGCAGAUGCUCCAUAGGAGUGAAAGAUGAUAGGAAGCUAACCUUUCUUGCAACUGGAAGUUCCCAAGCCACUGGAAGAUUAUGUAGCUAGUGGCAGAUAAUGUGAAUACUGGUGUUGUACAUCUCUUUCACCCGCCGGUAGCGGAAUGCUAAUUUCCUCAUCCAAUCAACUCCCCCAUGAACACCCGAGCCCAGACACAGAUUGGCACUGGCAGUUGAACUGUGAAAGCCAUCCGCGGAGAAGUUGUAUGUGCUGGGAAAGACAGAAGGGAAGAGGAGAGGUGAGGACAAAACAGAAAGACUUCAAGCUGAUGAACACUACUAGCUUUUGUCCUGGCUGACUUUUCAACAGAGGUAAAAGCACUUGGUACAACAGGGCUCCGAGGUCAGAACAACUGCAGGUCAGUCUGUGCUACACCGCAUGCCUCCAGGUGGGACCAGACCCUUGUACCCACAGGUAAAGGAGCCCGAGCUACAGCAGUUUUGAAAUGGUACUGCACGCUUGGAGAAAGCCUCUGCUGCCUCCUUGUGAAAUACAAGCUGUUCCUGAGGACACAUGGAGAAGCUCCUGCUAUUACUUACGCUCCCUCUGAAUACUCUCAAGGUAUGUCUUGGGCACAUCAAAUGCAUAGGUUGUCUAUUAGUGUAUCAGGACUGUGUUAAGAGAUUUUUAAACAUCUUGCGGAUUCACUGAUCAGUCAAGCCUGCAACCCUCAUUAGGUGGGGGGUUAACAGUUCCCAGAACACAAAACCUCCAGGGAUAGCUCUGAAAGACUCUAAACUUGUGAACACACUAAUCCCCUUGUUUGUUAAUUCCUCAUCUCCUUGUCAGUCCUCCUGUCCUUAAUACCUGUUUUCCAGAAUGCAGUAUCUCCAGAGGGACUGGAGAUGCACUGCACUGUGAACAAAAGGCAUUUGGAAGAAAAAGCAGAACCCUGGCAAGCCCACAGUUAUUUUAGCUUCACUGUGAUUUGUAACCUUGGCCAACUUCUUUUCUCUCCGAUUUCCCAAAAGGGGAACUGAGAGUGAGAAUACCUCCUUUCAAGUGAAUAUUUGCUGGUAUAUUCUGCCAUGUGAUUAGAGCCCUUUGUACACAACACCUUGUAUAGCCUACACUUGCAGACUGUAGGAAUUUAAUCUGCCUGGACUGUUGCAACUGCAAAAUGAGAUGAUGUGGUCAACAGGCAUGGGCUACCAUGAGCGGAUGAAUUAGUGUGGCAAAACCACACGUCUAUGAUUUCAAUGUGGGGCUCAAAAAACACAAGCUCUGCUUGCCUGGGUUAUGUUGCCAACAGCCUCCAGAAUGGGGCAAUGCUUGUGGCUUGUGUUGCUGCACGCCCUGGAAGUGCCCCACACUGGCUCCCGUGUCAAAGUCUGGUGCCUUGAUUCUUUGCUACAGGGCAGGUACACCACUAAGCCAUGCUUCAGCAAGCAUCGACCUGCCUCCAGCCCUGAAUCAGCUGGGAAAAAAGUCUAGCUUCUAAGUCACGUAAGUUAAGAGUUAAUUGACUGACAGAGAAUCCCUAGAACGCCCUUCUGUAAAAAGACUGGACACGUGUGGUACGAGUCAGGUCUAUGGAGUGUAAUCUAUGGCUUCCCAUCACUCACCUGCCCUGGGGACCAGUGAUCAGCCUCCUUCCACACAACUAGCCUGAGGUUUGGGGUGAAUCGAAUGGGAAACUGGCUGCAGCAGUUACAAAAACUGAGGCUGCAGCACUAAGAGAGAAUGGAUUGAAGAAGGUUAUCUGAACGGAUCUGCUGGUUCACCUUUUCACAGGUUCAAGAUUCCCACUCCCAAGUAGAGUAGGAAAAAUACAGCCAGAAACAGUUGCCUGAAUCCCUUUUGGGUAAACCCUGAAAACAGAUAAAGUCCUGACUAACAACAGAGUCUCAGAAUCAUUUUUUCAUAGAAAAAAGGGACCAUUCCUGUUCAGGCUCUUCAUUCAGACUCUGAAGCCAGUUUUUUGCUAUGAUGUGAAAUCGUAUCUUCACCAGAGUAAGGAGGAUCAGAAAAAUGCUACUAAGGGCUGUGCAAAUCUUGCCGUGGACAAAUGUUUCAUCCUCAUGAGGCACUUUCUGGGAAUGCUUCAAAAGGACUUUACACUCUGGCAGCAUCUUCUGCUCUGCACAGCACUGAAAACUGCAGCCAGAAAAACAAACCAUUCCCCUGUACUAAAACAAAGUAAUAACUGAUUUCCUUGCCCAGCCUGCCUCUCUGGGGAGGAUGGGUGACAUUUCCUCCACUUCUCCCCCUGCUUCCACCGUCAGGACAGAGGCUAGCCAUGUUCUGGUUGGUUCAGUCUGCUGGGCCUCCCAAAAUGCCUGAACGUGGUUACGGAUUUGUGCCAAAGAAAAGUUUUACUAUGUUUAGUAUUAUCUAGUAAGCAUACUCUUGCUUUGAAUUUGAAUGGGGCAACUGUGCUACUGCUUUUUCAGCUACAGCUUCUUUCACUCUGCCCCAACACAGAAGACAGACAGCAAGUUUCAGCCCUGUGCGGUUUUAGCUUAUUUUGUCUUGUACAGGCCAGUGUUACACCACAUGAUGGUGCUAAUGUAUCUGGUAAUGUUUGUGGGUCUAGAACUGAAUCAGCUUCUGUGCUUGUUUUUUACCAACUUCUUUUUUCUUUUUUAAGGAUACCAUUCACUGCAUUUUUUUCUAAGCCUAGCACUUGGUGAUGCAUGAUCCUUAAAUAUUGCUCUGUGAAUACUCAAACCUGACUUUUAUUUAUCAUCCUAAAUGAAGGAGCAAGUUCUUCCAAGCUGAAAUGGCUUUUUUUUUUUGAAAGUUAAAUUUUGUAAAGAACAUUUACUUCUCUUGAAUUCUCUCUCAUUUUUUUUCAUUGAAAAGCCUCAGCUAAAAUCAAACCGCAUUGCUUUGGUUUUGGUUUGAAAAAUACAUUGGUUUGUUUCACUUACCAAGCAUGUCUGAAAAGGGAAAACAGAAAAUUUUCAGUAGAAAAUGCUCAUCUCUUUCCAGCUAUCUGAGCCAUGCAUCAUCAUUUAGAAUGCUUAACAUUUUUAUGUCAUUGCGGGACCUAAGAUAAAAUGGUUUCACAAAGCUAUCUCUUUUCUGCUCUGGCUUGCUGGAACACUACUUGUUUUCAAAAGUUUUAAACAUUUUUCAUGGUUCUGAGUCAUCCAGGUCCAGCAGCAAGUUGUUCCCACCUUUAGGUGCCUAUGUCCUUUACACUCUCUGACAAGUCCAUUACAGCUAUACUGACUCACCCACUCAGCUGCCAACUUUGAGUUCCCUGACGUUUUAGAAAAGCAGCCCAAACUACUUAAGAGAAAACCUCCCUUAAUAUUUUGCUGAACAGAUGUGUCCUGUAGCACCUGGCUCUCUUCCUCUAUUAGAGAUGAAGCUCAGUGGCUGAAGAAGAAUUUGAGAGGCCGUGUGAGACAAAACUGACCUAAGGACUCUGCUUCUCGCAGCCAAAGCUGUUACUGACUGAUAAAUGUGCAGAAUUUGACUGACACCAGGCAAUUUGCUACUUCAUUUCAUGUUUUAGAGCAGCAAGUGAAGCAAGGGGAAAACUUGUUUUAAAAUAAUUUGCCAACAGCAGAAGUCUACAUAGGUGGAGGGUUUCUGGAGGGUGGCUUUGUGCAGGACACAGAGCUUUGUUGCAUCACAUGUUGAGAUCUAAUGGGUGGAAAGUGCUGGUUGCAUAUUAAAUAUUAUUACUACUUAUAUAGUGCCCUGCACUCCAAAACAGCACCUCUCUGUUUUUUUCCUAAGGGAAGGAUCUUUUCCACUUUGUACUUUCUGUACCCUCAUCACCAACUCCUCCUUUGAAAAAAGCUGAAAGAGGAAAAAUCUGUCAGUUCAGUGCUACCCACUACUUGUCUUAGAAAGGAAAUGAAAAUUCUCAGCAAGUGAAACCUCAGAUUGUAAGGAGACAGGUGGCAGGAAAGGCUGUACCACCUGUAAUGCAGCGGACCACAGUGCAAUUAAGCAGAAGGAACCAGAAGUUCUCGCUGAACUCGUAAGGCACAGAAAAAGCUCUCUCAUUUCAUCUGGCACAGAAAAAAAAUCUUCCUUUUUCAAGCGAAGAAAAAGACCACAGAAUUCUGCCCAGGGAUACCAGAUAUUUUUCCUCCAAGCAAUAUUCUGACUCCGAAGUGCCCCAGCAGAAACCCCAUCUUACUCACUUUGUACAUGACUCAUUCAGAGUAUUUCUACUGAUUGCAAAUGCAAACACAUUUUCAUCAGCACUGUACAGCUGUUUCUCAGCUGGUGACAGAAUUCUGCUAGCAUAACUUUGCUCAAAUUUUGCCAUAUAUUCAGAAGGGUUUUUGCUUUGUAUAAGGCAUAGUCAGAUCUAACCAUGCCACAAACAGGAAGGAGGACUCUUCCUCUUGGUUUUUCAUAUUGAAAUUCCCAUAGUUUCAUCCUGCAGUGUGCCUGAGCUUGAGCAGACUUAUAAUCUGUGUGUGCAAACAAAGCUUCCUCAAGAACAGAGACCAUUUUUAAAACCUCUGCAUUGGCUCAUAGCUAAUUGCUACCUGUCCCAUAGGAUCUAUGCUAAUUUAGCUUAAUAAAACUAUUAAAUAGCAAAUUUCAGAAGAAGCAGCAGCAAUGUCCUCAUUAUUAGAUUUAGUAGAGCUGCCAAAAGCCAUCAUUGUUACUGUGCAUUUAGAAAAAAAUUCCUUAACAGAAUGAAGAUGUCAAAGGGACACAGUAAGUAUGCUUCUAAUAAGCCAUCUAAGGCCCAUUUCUUUGGGGUCAAAAACGAAAGUUUCUUGGCCAGAAAAACAAGUUUGUAGACCAGAUGCAAAUGAUUAGAGAAAGAGAUGUUAAAUAAAAUA